GGCUAGUUGGUCUAGGGGUAUGAUUCUCGCUUUGGGUGUGAGAGGAACCUGGGUUUAAGUCCCGGACAAGGUA
rnacentral:tRNA from 1 species